rnacentral:tRNA from 1 species
CAGAACGUAGCUUAACCCCCUAAAGCACCCGGCCUACACCCGGAGGAUUUCGCACCACCCGAACGUUCUGA